AUUGAACGCUGGCGGCAGGCUUAACACAUGCAAGUCGAGCGGGGAAAGGUAGCUUGCUACCUGACCUAGCGGCGGACGGGUGAGUAAUGCUUAGGAAUCUGCCUAUUAGUGGGGGACAACAUCUCGAAAGGGAUGCUAAUACCGCAUACGUCCUACGGGAGAAAGCAGGGGGCCUUCGGGCCUUGCGCUAAUAGAUGAGCCUAAGUCGGAUUAGCUAGUUGGUGGGGUAAAGGCCUACCAAGGCGACGAUCUGUAGCGGGUCUGAGAGGAUGAUCCGCCACACUGGGACUGAGACACGGCCCAGACUCCUACGGGAGGCAGCAGUGGGGAAUAUUGGACAAUGGGGGGAACCCUGAUCCAGCCAUGCCGCGUGUGUGAAGAAGGCCUUUUGGUUGUAAAGCACUUUAAGCGAGGAGGAGGCUACCGAGAUUAAUACUCUUGGAUAGUGGACGUUACUCGCAGAAUAAGCACCGGCUAACUCUGUG
rnacentral:rRNA from 1 species